AUGAAACCCCGCGUGGUUCGUUCCUAACGUUGCGGAAGCGGAGAACAGCUGAACAAAUCAACGUUCCGCCUUCAAGGGUCCUUGUGUAGAUUUCAGCACAAGGAACUUAGGUGUGACCAACAUCUUUAUUUCCUUCCCCAAGAUGUGUGAGGAACACACCGUGACCGCUCACUAACAGAGAAGACAGUACACGCUGUGUGUGUGUAUGUGUUAUGACACGGUCCACGGCCAGCUCCACAGUCGAUAGCACUUAAAAGUUACACAUUAACUGGAUAACCGUGCAAAUUUGAAGGGGACUGAACGAGACUUUAGAGAGACUCUAGUGAACCAAUCAUCUGCACAGGAUCGAGAGGAAUUUCGUCUUUUAGGAGAGUUUUGAUAUCUGUUUCUACCAGAAGAAGGAGCUCUUAGGAUAACAGAAAGUGGAUGCGCAGUGCAGUGGGAAGAUCUAUUAGAUUGAUUAGCAGCAGGUGGGAUGUGAAACAGUUGCCUUCUGGGAAGAUACCUGCCUCGGGACAGCUUCUGCGGUGUAUAGGUUAUCCUUGCCGAGUAAUGAGAAGACACAUUGAUGGUUUAGAAUCCACUGUUUGUUUGUCUAGAACUGAAAACAGACUACUAUAAACAAAAGGACAUCAGCAAAACAAUAGCAUUUCAUCCAGAAGGAUGUGACAGGUUGCUGCCUACUGAAUAGAGGGCAAUCAA